rnacentral:rRNA from 1 species
AUUGAACGCUGGCGGCAUGCUUUACACAUGCAAGUCGAACGGUAACAGGGAAAAGCUUGCUUUUCUGCUGACGAGUGGCGAACGGGUGAGUAACACAUCGGAACGUGCCCUGUAGUGGGGGAUAACUACUCGAAAGAGUGGCUAAUACCGCAUACAACCUGAGGGUAAAAGUGGGGGACCGCAAGGCCUCACGCUAUAGGAGCGGCCGAUGGAAGAUUAGGUAGUUGGUAGGGUAAAGGCCUACCAAGCCGACGAUCUUUAGCGGGUCUGAGAGGACGAUCCGCCACACUGGGACUGAGACACGGCCCAGACUCCUACGGGAGGCAGCAGUGGGGAAUUUUGGACAAUGGGGGCAACCCUGAUCCAGCAAUGCCGCGUGAGUGAAGAAGGCCUUCGGUUGUAAAGCUCUUUGUUUGGGUAGGAAAUACCUAACGGAUAAUACCCUUGGGGAGUGACGGUACCAAAAGAAUAAGACACCGGCGUAACUACGUG